UACGGAGGGUGCUAGCGUUGUUCGGAAUCACUGGGCGUAAAGGGCGUGUAGGCGGUUUGUUAAGUCUGAUGUGAAAUCCCCUCGCUCAACGAGGGAACUGCGUCGGAUACUGACAAACUUGAGUACCGGAGAGGAAGGUGGAAUUCCCGGUGUAGCGGUGAAAUGCGUAGAUAUUGUGAGGAACACUAGUGGCGAAGGCGAGACUCUGGACAGUUCCUGACGCUGAGACGCGAAAGCGUGGGGAGCGAACAGG
rnacentral:rRNA from 1 species